UACUUUCAGAUCCCCUAUAAA
rnacentral:piRNA from 1 species